rnacentral:lncRNA from 1 species
AAGAUCGUCUCAAGAAAGAAAUUAUUAAUUUUGUGUGAUAGUGUUGUGUUGGACUAAAGACUGAUAAUUUAGGACUAAAGACUGUCGUGCCUUCCGCCAGCACAUCGGUUAAAGAAAAAGUGAUCUUUUCGACGAAGGACAAAAACAAAGGCCUAUAAAAUAAGUUUCCCUGUCAAUAUCUCCGGUGUCGAAUCUAGAAGCCACACAGAAAUUAUACGGCCAAUAUCCUAUCGAAAUGACAUUGACAUCCCGGCGGUCCUCGUAAUACGUUUCACUCAGAUGGCAAUGAAAGACGACAUUGCAGAUUUUAAGAUGUGAAGAAUGAAUAGCGAUCUUACAAUUAAAGUAAACGAUAAAAAGAAGAAAGAAGAUAAGUGAAGAAGAAAGAAGACAAGGGAAGAGAAGCGUUAACAGAAAAAAGAGUGAAACUAUUGCUGGAACCAAGUUUGAAAAUCACAUUUUAUAUAAAUGUUGAUAUAUAUUUCUGUUUCUAAUAAUAUAGGCCCUAUAUAUUUCUCUUACAGGUGUUUUCUCUGCAUACUGAAUCGACUUUUACCAGAUGUGUCUUACUCUAUUUCGGAUUUGACUUUUACACAUUCAUCCACAGAAACAACACCUCAUACAAUGAAUUCACAGCCUAAUCUUUACUCGAUCUAUGCAUUCAUACAUCAACAUGGCAGUCAUUUUUUCACUUAAAAUUUUCUUAAAAUACACAACAAUUUACAUGUGCUUCCUAGAAAUCCAAUCCCAAGUCCUCGUCCCAGGAAGCAGAAACAUUAAUUGAAAAAGUUUAAUUUUUAAAUUAAUAACUAAAGGGGCUAUAGUACUUGAUAUAUAAGCAUUUCAUAUGCAAAUAAAAACAGAGUCACUUUUUAAUUGUAUCUUAGCCAAAGUAUGCGAAAAAUCGAUGCGAUCUACCUGUCGAUGGCAAACCGAAUUUUUUUCGAUUGUCGAUAAUAUUACAAUUUUGGCAGUUUAUCAAUGUACAACAAAUAUUUGUUAAAUUAAAGAGUAAUUUUGGAAUAAAAUACUAUAAGCGCGAAAUAUGUAUGAUUCUAUAAAAC